rnacentral:lncRNA from 1 species
AGCUGGAAAAGAUAGAUUUAGGUUGGUGGGUUUCCUUUCUCUGGUCUCUAAAUUUAAUUACUUACAUUACAUUCACCUUCAAACUGAAAAAAAAAAAAAGCAGCAGUUUACAAGCCAAGAGCUCCAAGGGGUGUCUUCCCUUGGCCAGCCUCAAAGUAGAAGAUUAGCAUAGCCAACAUGGCAAUCCUUGCAUGCUUAAUCUCCGCUAGUUUCAGUCUCUCGAGCUUUUCCACAUCUGGGAUGUACACUCCAUCUUUGAUUGUGCCAGCGAGUGACAGUGGGUCGAAGAAUUUCCCUCCCGGGUAGCCCUGCUCCCCGGUGGCGUUGGCAAAGUUCUCAGCCGUCCUCGACCACGGGGUGGCCCAUUCCACGGACUGUGACUCCGGGUUGAAGAAAUCCACCCACCUCUUGCUCUCAACCCACCCCAUGAGCAGGAGUUGGGUUCCAAGGAGGGUCCCGAAAGAGAACGGUGCAACGGCGCCAGGGGCUGCUCCGGCUUCGAACCAUGGGAUGCCGCUCCAGGCUUGGCCGACGAAGAUUCCCACAACUGCUGCCAUGGCCCAUCGCCCGUGGAUCAGCUCGGCUUCCCUGUACCACUUGAGGAAUGCUGGGUCCUUGCCUAGUCCGAGUGGAUCAAAGCCAUAGUCACCGGGAAGCCUGCAGAUUUACACACAUAUUUCAAUUUAACUAAAAAGCUGAAGGUUGAAGCUGUUAAAUAAUUAGUCCAUUGAAACAUUUAUGUAAUGAGCCAACAAUGAGUAGAGAGUAUAAUGAGAGACUUACGAGCCAUCGAGCCACUCAGGGUCGACGAGGUUGCCACCAGCUUUAACACCAGGAAGCCACGACUUCUUAGGGGCAGCAGCGACGACAAUGAGCCUCCUGGGGGCAGGCACAGCAGCACCAGCUUUGGCUGCAACCCCGGCAGACAACAAGCUCUGGCUCCUCUUGCCUCCAGUCAAGAACGGAGAGCCCAGCCCAUUCAACACAGCAGCAGAAGUUGCAGCCAUCUCUACAACCUUGUGUUAUAUCUCUCUAGAGAUGGAAAAUGGGGAAACGGGGAGAAGUGGACAGAGGAUGGGGGGAGAGGCUGGUGUUGGGUAAUAUUAUGUGAAAGUGGUGUAUCCAAAGAGGGGCUUUGUAUGGAGCCAGGUAGAUAAGUGCAAUCUGGAGAGGAAAUCUGGGAUGUUCGGUGGAUAGAUUUCGGACCAAUGAGAUGUAGAGCUCCAUCUCCAUCUCCACAUUGCAGCCAUCCACGUGGAUCCUCUCUCCACCACUGCUUAUUCCAAAAGUAUCUUACUUGGAAAUGCCUAGGUUAAUAUUGACCAAGUAAUAUGCCACUACUAUAAUAAACUUUUAUUAUAAAUAUUAUUUAAUUAAGAGAUUUGACUAUAUUUUUAUUUGAUUCUUUUGAAAGUUUCCUUUUUCUUUACAAAAUUACGUAAUUAUUUGAUUUUUAUAUAUAUAUAUAUAUAUGUUUUUUCUUUUUUCUCUUAUCACCAGCCAUUCGAUGUUUAGAAGCAAUUUAGAUAUAAUUUAUUUUACAUUCACUAAUUUUAUAUAUCAUCGCUGAACUUAAAAUAUAUAAUUUUUUAAGGGUUAAAAACAUUUUACUCCCUCGUUUGUAUGUUUUAUACUUUAUCUUUUUACAUUUAAAAUUCGACAUAUUUUUCUUUAAUUUAUUAAUUAAAUCAAUUUAAAUCAAUUUAUUCUUUUUAUGCUAUAUAUCAAAUAAAUUUUAUAUUUAAUUUUAUUUUCUCAAAUUAAUUUUGUUAUACAAGCUUUUCUAUAUUUUUAGAGCUCAUAAUAAAAACUUUCAUUAUAGAUAUUACUUGAUUAGGGGAGAAUUUGACCAAAUUUUUAUUUGAGUACAUUGAGAAGGUUUUUUUUUUUAUAUUUUCUAACAUCAUAUGCAUUCAUUUAAUUUUUUAAAAUCUUUUCCUCUUGGUGUUUGGGGUGAUCAUGACCUCUCAAAUUUAUUUCUUUAUACAAUUCUAGACCCUAAUUUUGUUCUUAUUAGCACAAUACAUAUAUACUCAUAUAUUCUUCACAUACAUUUUGAGUUUGCAAGGUAUGAAUGUAAGCACAAUACAGAUUUUGUUUUACCUUGGAAGAGGAGAAAUUUCUAGUUUUUGUUGAAUGGAGUUAAUGUACAGAGCUAUAAAUUGAGCAAGAGAAAUCUGGAAUUUAGAGGAGAUUUUCUGGUGUGAUGUGAAGAAAAUACAGUGAAAAGGAAAAUGUAGAAGAAGGAAUUGUUGUGGACAGUUCAUCUUGCAAGAAUCAGUUUCCUCACUGGUACAAAUUCUCGUUUCUUUGAUGUUCUUGUAUCAAGUAUGCAUUGGGCAUUGGAGUUCUUGUAUGGGUUUAUAUAAAAAUUCAGAUAUUUGUGAUUUGUAUGUUUGAAUUGUGUGAAUGGUUUCCAAUGAGGAACAUGAGAGAGACAUAAGUUGAAAUUGGGUUCAUCAUGAUUUUGAUAAUUUUAUUUCUAAAUUUAUUUUUUUAAUAUUUAAUUACUAUACAAAAAUAUAAAAAAUACUCAUUAGGAAAAUCAUUAUGACGGUUUUCACAUUUUUAAAAGAUCUUAUUAACAAAGUUUACAAGAUAUAUAAAAGUUAAAUCUAACAGAAAUAUUGGGAAAUUUCAGGGAAACAUAUAUAAAAAAAAUCAGCGAAAUAUUGCAAUAUCAAAGAAAUAUGGGAAAUAUCAUUGAUAUUGGUUGAUUUCAAUCGGUCAAAAUUUCCACCUAUUUUUUCAUGUUAGGGUCCAUUGAUACAUGAAAUUUCAAUGAAAGAUUUGUCAUGCCCCAAAACCCAUUCUAAGGGUGUGACAGUCAUUUCACAUCUCAAGUCUAAAAGCUUAAACUGAAGACGAUACAAAUAUUCAUCUUGUAAUUGAAUAGUUUCUAAUUACUAAAUUCUUUAUCAGAGUAGUAAAAUAAAUAAAUUUUAUAAUUCUUAAUUCUCAACUUUAAAACUAAUAUAUCAACCAAAGUGUUAUUAUCCAAAUAACUUCAAACUCAAAUAAUUUAGACAUGAAUUAAAUUUUAACAUCUAAACACCAAAAUCCUAAUAAAGAAAUUCCCCAACUUAGCCAUUACUCUUCGCCCAAACUGGGAGUACCUAAAAAUAUUGUCAAUACAAGGGCAUGAGCUCAAAGUUUAAUAAGAAAUAUUAAUACAAUUUCAUGGAAUAAAUAUUUUCAACUAUAAUUACAAAUAAAAGAUACAAUGAUAAUUUUUUUUUUCAUAAAACUUACAAAUUCAAACAUGCCUAUAUGUUCAAAACUUUUCCAACUAAACAUUCUCAUAUCUAUUUCGAAACGAUUUCAUAUCAAAUUCAAAUUAAUUAUAUUCAAAAUGUUCUUACUCUGGUUAUCGAAUCACAAGUGAUGCCCAAUUAGGUGGGACUUUACAAAUGAGUGGCUAGCCUCAAAUUUGUUCCUUUUAAGAUAAACGAAAUCAAAGGUUAAUAAUUAUAACCUGUUGACUAAGGUUAUAAGGUCAAUUAUUAUAAUCCAUUAACUAUGAUCGAAAAUGUCAAUAAUUAUAACCCGUUGACUAGGGUCAUAGUCACUCAUAUAUGGUUUCUCAUAUAGCCAUAUUAUAGCAACAUGUCAUUCUUGUUCACUUGAUUUUAGAUGAUUUGUUCAACAUUAUUACACUACAAGGUCAUACUUGAGUACUUAAACACAUAUUUUUUUACCCUAUUCACAAUAUUAUGAAUGACCUUCAUAAUUUUUUUUUUAAAUUUUGAAUUUUUAUUUUUUUGUUUUGUUUUUGGAUUUUUUUUCCUUUUACAUAUGUAGUUCAUGACCGCGUGUAUUGAAGUAUAAAAACUGUAGCUGAUAGCUGCAUGUUUUGCCUUAUCAUUUUUUUCUUUUAUGAAAAAACUUAGCUCAUGGUUGUGUUUGUUUCAUUUUUUUUAAAAACUUUUUUUUUUCUCAUUUUUUUUGGGAGAAUUGUGCUUUGGACCCAAUUGGGCCCAAAAAUUGGUCUUAAGUUUACAUAAGUUGCAUAAUUGAUGGGGAGGAUAUAAAAUAUUAAGAGACCAAUAUACCCUUUAAAUUUCCAACUCAGAUGCUUUUAAAUUAAUGGGUUUUAUACAUGGUAAACUAAAAAUGUCAUGUCACCUGUCUUAAAAAUCUAACUUUAGAAUCCUACUUGUUGGGUCUAUAGUCCAGAGAAGGAAUGAGUAUGGUUCAUGGAGAGAGACAGUGAGCUUUGGGGAAAAAGUUUCUUCGAUAAUGAUGUAAUUUCUCCAGAAUAGCUAUCCUUCGGAUCAAACAUAUCUUGAAAGCAGAGAAGAUGGUUGUUAUGAUUGUGAGGUUAGUCCACCACAUGAAACAGAGAAAAUGAAGAACUUUGAAAAAUAUCUAAAGCGGCUACAACUGUGGUUGUCAUGAUGGUAGUAGCCUAGCAACCUCCUGUGAAGAUGAAAAUAUGCUAAAUAGGGUAUAUGCCAUUUUGGAGUAGAAUUGCGGGGUAAGUGUAUUUUGUGGAAUUUGAACCCAGGUUUGUGGAGGAUUAAGUGUGUUUUUAUUAGGUUUAGGGAUGAAUUGUGACAUGUAUAUUUUUGAAAAAUAUUUUUGCUAUGAUCCAAAGCACAACCCCAUUAAUUGUAUGAUUGAAACUCCUUUAUGUUUGAGUAGAAGAUUAAUAAUAUGAUGACUAGUAGUUGGGGAACAAAUUGAUACUUUAGUUUUUCCUUAUUUUAUGAACCAAAACAUUGCAAACAUGGUUAAACUAUGUAUGAGUAGGCAUUUAGUAGUAGUUGUAUGGAAUUUCUUCUUCUAUAUAAGACAUUUACACUAAGUGUACAAGGUAAAUGUGGUAACUGUACAAGGGUGUACAAAGGUACCUAUGUUGAAGGAUUUCAAAUCCUUUUAAAAUCAUUUCCAAUUUGUAAGGAUGAGGGACAUUCUUUACACACAUUCCUUGAUCAUGCACUCAUCCCAUUCAAUUUUAUUACUUCAUACAUGUUCAUCGGAUGACCUACCGCACUAAUGAUGCAUAGGAACCUAUAUUGGGUUUCAUUUUCCUUAGGCAUCACAUUAGAACAUGGUUAGCCCACCAAUAUGCAUACGUUCAAUUGUAGCUAUGUCAAAUUUUUACCACUGUACAAGGCAUUUACACUAAGUCCACAAGACAAAUGUGCUUAUUGUACAAGGGUGUACAAGAGUACCUAUGUUAAAGGAUUUCAAAUCCCUUUGAAAAAAUGGCUUGCUCAUUUCCUUUUUCUAGGGAUGAGGGACAUUCUUCAUAGACAUUCCUCAUUUCCCUUCGUACACAUUCAUUGGAUGAGCUACUGCACUAAUGAUAAAUAAAACCUUAAUUGGGUUUCAUUUCCUCAUUUUUGCUCAGCCAUGACAUUGGAAUGUGGUUAGCUCACCCAUAUGCACUUGUUCAGUUGUAGCUAUGUCGAAUUUCUGCCACUAUACAAGGCAUUUAAACUAAGUGUACAAGGCAAAUGUACUAACUGUACAAGGGUGUUUAUCUUAGGGGAUUUCAAAUGAUUUUGAAGAACUUACUCAUUUACUUUUUCCAAUCAUGGGAGACAUUUCUCACACACUUUAGUUAACCACAAAUUCAUUGCAUGCAUUUUGUUUGAUGUUCACCAUGUUCAUUCAUUCUAUUAGCUACUUCACUAAUCAUGAAUAUGAACCGAAAUUAGGAUCAACUUUUUCCUCAUUUUCCCUGAUCCAUGAGAAUGGAAACGUUGUUUACCCACCAUAUGUACUCAUUUAGUUGUAUCUAUGUGGAAUUUAUGCCACUGUACAAGACAUUUACACUAACUGUACAAGGCAAAUGUGAUAACUAUAUAAAGGUGUACAAGGCUCCUUAUCUUAAAGGAUUUUAAAUGCUUUUGAAGAACUCACACACUCAUUUCCAAUGAAAAAUUAACCAUUGGGCCAUAUAAGUUGCAUAAUUGAGAAGAAGGAUAUAAAAUAUGAAGAGAAAAAUAUACCCUUCAAAUUUUCAUAUCAGAUGUUUGUAAAAUUUGUGUUUCAUACAUGGUCAAUUGGAGUUGCCAUGUCAGAUCUCUUUAAAAUGUGUAUAUGGCUAUGACCUGGGUCUAUUGUCCAAUAAAAUAAAUUCAGAGAGAGGAUUUAGGUAUGGUUUAUGGAGAGAGAAGGUGAACUUUGGGGAAGAAGACUAUGUGAAGAUCAUGCAAUUCCUCCAUAAUUCCUUCGGGUCAAACGGAUCUCAAAAGCAAGAAUUCCCUUGCAAAUUUAAAGUCCCUACAACAUUGGUAGUAGGGUAUAUGCCUAGUGACCUUUUUUGAACAUGAAAAUAUGUUCCACCUGUUGAAGUGGUUUUCAGGUUAGUACAAUUUCUGGAAUUGGAACCUAGGUUUGUUGAGGAUUGAUGGUGUUUUUAUUAGGUUUAGGGAUGAAUUGUCACAUCCAUAUUUGUUAAAAAAAAAAUUAUGUUUGAGACCUCAUUAAUUGUAUGAUUGAAACUCCUUUAUGUUUGAAUAGGAGAAUAAUAAUAGGGAAGAUUGUUUUUGAAUAUCAAAUGUUGUGUAUGUAGGAAGUUAGUAGAAGGGUUUCUCUUUUGCAUCAUUCGCUGAUCUGUUUGUAUGAUUAUUGUGUAAGAAUGUGGACUAGUAUUUGUUUUUGAAUAACAUGAUGACUAGUAGUUGGGGAACAAAUUUAGACUUCAAUUUUGUCCCAUUCUAUGAACCAAAACAUUGCAAAUAUGGUUAGCCCAUGUAUGAGUAGACGUUCAGGAGUAGACGUUCAGUUGUAGCUAUGUCAAUUUUUUGGCACUGUACAAGGUAUUUACACUAAAUGUACAAGAAAAAUAUGGUAACUAUACAAGGGUGUACAAGGGUACCUAUGUUGAAGGAUUUCAAAUCUUUUUCAAAAAAUGGCUUGUUCAUUUCCCUUUUGUAAGGAUGGGGGACAUUCCUCACAAACAUUCCUUGAUCACACACUCAUCCCAUUCAAUUUUUUUUACCUCGUACAUGUUCAUUGGAUGACCUACCGCACUAAUGAUGAAUAUAAAGAUAAUUUGGGUUUAAUUUUCCCCCUUUUCCCUGAGGCAUGACAUUGGAACAUGGUUAACUCACCCAUAUGCACAUGUUCAGUUGUAGCUAUGUUGAAUUUCUGCCAUUGUACAAGACAUUUAUAUUAAGUUUACAAGGAAAAUAUGGUAAUUGUAUAAGGGUGCACAAGGGUACCUGUCUUGAAGAAUUUCAAAUGAUUUUGAGGAACUCACUCGGUUAUUUCCCUUUUCCAAGGAUGAGAGACAUUUCUGACACAUAUUGGUUGAUCACAUGCAGCCUAUGCAUUUAUUUGACCUCAUACAUGUUCAUUCCAUCACCUUGUAUUCAUAAAUGAUGAUUAGGGUUAUAUGGUUGGGUUUGAUUUCAUUUUUUUACCUAUUUUCCUAAGCCAUGACAAUGGAAUCAUAGUUAACCCACGCAUAUGCACACACUGCAUUAUAGGUGUAUGUAAAUUGUACAAGUGUACAAGGCAUUUACACUAAGUGUACAAGGCAUUUACAGUAAGUGUACAAGGUAUGUGUGCUAAUUGUACAAGGUAGCCUAUCUUGAAGAAUUUUAAAUAAGUUUGAAGAACUUGCUCACUCAUUUCCCUCUUAAAUUUCAUUAUCCACAAUUUGUAACUUUUUUGUUUGUUUGUUUGUUUUUGUUUUAGUAUUGUUUUAAAACUGAAAUAAAUAAUGAAUGAUGAAAGGCUAGAGUACCAUUGCAUUCAAGACACGUAAUACAAGUACAACGUGUAGCUUAGUUGCACCACAUUUGAGCAUUCCUAAAAGAACUUUUGAAAUACAAACAUGAUCGUGAAUGUUACAACACAUCUGAGGAUAAAAGGAACAAGGAAAUUUUGUUUUCGAUCUUCAAUCUUUUGUAAUACUUGGUCAUCUACUAGUUGGCCAAUAACUUGGUUAACCUCUUCAGGCUUAGAGGAUUCAAUAGGUGUAUCAAGUGUUUUCCAUCGAGGCUUGUACAUCAACCCCUAUUGAUACAGCCUCAUGAUGGGUUUUUUAUGCUAUAUAAACGUUACCCUUGUAACCAAUGACUUAAGCUUGGCAUUCAGGCCAAGUUGUGUAUACACCCGGUCUCCUUCCAACAAAAACAGCGUAAAACUUAUUUUGUUUGCCAUGUAUUUGUUUAUACUGAUGCAAACAAAUAAACAAUUUGUGCAUGAGUAUUUCAUUCAUAUUUGCCUAAAACAUUGAUAAUAUGCUUAAUUAAAGAAAUGAAAUGUAUAAUUUAUGCCUUCAAACAUACCUGAACAAUAUGGUUGAUAUACGUUUGGAAUCAAGGUUCUUUACAUGGUGCUUUGAACCAGACAAUGAUGUUAAAGUAGAGGUUAUACCAUUUAUAUAGUUUGAAGAUUGGUUGGAGGGCCUAGUCGUAAUAUUUGCAUGAGAGCCUAUUUGUGAUAUAGACACAAAAAUACAAGACCUAUACGAAAAUUUUAAAUAUAAAUAUGUGUGCUUGAUAAAAGUGUCAUUGUGAAGUUAAUUUUCAUAUGAAUAGUGUUUUCGUGAUCUCUCGCUUUCAAUCAUUGGUCAAAGUUAAUAAUAUCCUAUGACCAAAGUGUUCUUCACCUACAGUAUAACGUCCUAUUUGGUCAUCCCAAAAAAUCUUUUAAAUGAAUAUAUUCGAUUGGGUUUGCUAUGACAUGCAAAAUAUUAUUGUUAUUAUUUAAUUUCACAAUCACAUAUUGAGAAAAUGUGACAAAAUGUGAAUCAUUGGUAAAUGCAAAAAGAUAGUUAUUAAUUUUUCUUAACCAAAGUCUACUUCACCUACAAUGUGUUCAUAACAAAUAUAUUUGAUAUGCCAUGACGUGCAAUAUGUGAAUGUUAUUUAAAAUUGAUUGUAAGACUGACAAGAUAUGAUGCUAAUUUGAAUGUUAUACCAUGGGGUGGUAAGUUAAUAAUGGGACACUAACAACAAAGUUGGUCAUUAAUUAUUAGCCAUUUGCAUACUUAAGUUGCAACAAAUAUCCCAAAAUUCAUAGUACAAUAUUACAUACGUUACAUAGGGUUCAUUCAAGUAACGUCAUUUAUAUAAGUUACUACUCCUUAUUAGAUAUUUCAAAAUCUGAUUUGCAUUACGGUAGAGAUAGAAUUUUUGUUUAUUCCUCUUCAUUGAGUUCUUUACCAUUUGCUAGUGCUUUGUUUCGUACCUCUUCCAACAUUAUUACCCUAUUUUUUUGAAUUGCCAUCUUGUUGUUUUCCUCCUUGAUCUUAUUAAGUGCUUCAGAUAAACUGAUGUGAUUGUAUCGACUGACAAACAAUGACUUUUUACGUGGUACACAUACACCUAAAACAAUUAGUUGUUGGAUUAGAUUUUUUUAUUCCUCCACCCAAUGCGUUCAUUCACUUUCCAUGGUGCACAUGGUCAUUUCAGAAUACUUCUCUAAUGGCUUUAGUGAGUACAUGAAAUUAUCAUCUCCUAAUGCCCAAUAUUGGCCUGAUAGCUUAAAUAUAUCCUUGGGCCAAUAGCAUUUCCCUAAGUGAAGAUGGUGUCUACCCCUUCUAUCAUCCAUGACCUACAACAACUAUUGAACCUACCAAAGAAGUGUGUGUAUGCCCAAGAUCUUGAUUAACAACUAAAGACAGUUAAAAUUUCAUUUUCCUUACUUUUAAAUAAAUAGACGCUAUAGUAAGUGGCUAUUAUAAGAAAGUUAAUGACAAUGUACAACCAUAACAAAAUGAUGAAGAAGUUUUGUACAAAACUUAAAAGUUAAAAGAUGAUAGGUGCAAUUGAUGCAAAAAUAAGCACUCUACUUUCUUAUAGUCAUAAGAGGUUCGAUGCAGAACCCCUUAUUUAUACUGUGGUAACAUGGUACUAUACAUGCUCAUAUUUUGUAAGAUUUUGUAUCCCAUAUCUUAUUCUUUUUUCUUUCCCUACCCCUAGUGUUAGCUUUAUGUCUUUUCAAUGUGUUGAAUUGACUUGUCAGUCAUGUCUCUAUUGUGUACACAUCAUAUCAUUUUUUAACUGUUUGUGUAGACCCCUCAUUUUGCCCAUGACACAUAUAGGUUACUAUCCAAGCAAAUCACUGUAAUUCAUCGAUUAGUAGUCUCCGAUUCUUCCUCGGGAGCUUCUUGGAAGAUAAACUAUGGAAUUUUGAUGUGAUCACAUGAACUUCUAUUUUUUGUAGUUUAGGAUUCUUUGAUCGUUUAAAAUUAUUAUAAACCAUAUGUUGAAACGAAACUUGAAGUUCUUUAUAAAUAUUAAAUCCACGUCUUAAAAAUAUGAGAUAAAAUAAGUUGUUCAUUUUAAGUAACAAACAUGCCAAAAUAAUUUUCUUUUAAAUAGUUUAUGAACCAAAAAUAAAUAAAUAAAUAAAUAAAUAAAUAAAUAAAAUAGUAAUAAUAAUAAUAAUAAUAAAUUCAAGUUACUACAGGUAACAUCACACUUCAAAUGUAAAAUAAUAUGGAUUAUUUCUUUUAAAAAUAAACAUAUAAGAAAAUGAAUAAAUGGAUAAAAAAAAAAAAAAUUCUUUUCCCCGCUACUUAUUGAAUCGUAAAUUGAAGUAAAGAUCUGAGUUUAUAUAUAUAUAACUAUUAAAUUUAUACUUUAAGAAUAUAAUUACUUUUAUAACAAAUAUGUCAUUUAUAAGCUUUGACAACUAAUUCUAUAUGUUAGACAAUUUGAUACACUUUAAUAAUAAACCAUACACUUAGUUAACCCUAGCCUUUUGUAGCUAUAUUAAUCCAUACUAUCCCAUGCAACAACUCCAUUCCCAACAGCACGAAAACACUUUAAAACCAUGCAUAAACCACCAAUAAGAUACCCAUUUUUCUUUCAUCAUCAACUACCUUCCCACCUAUGCCACUGCACACCACCACCGCUAAUGGCCACCUUCUUCACCACACUUCCCAAGACCCUGACUCUUACCCUAGUUUCAAGCUCCCAAUCGAAACCCAAUCCCAAGAAAGCCAAGAAAAGCAUCAUACGACACUUCUAAGAAGUCGAUUCUUAAGAAAUCCUUCAACCAAGAAGAGGUCAUAUUUUGUCACGACCCAAAUUCCGAGUGACCCAAAAUUUGACCCAUGACCCCAAGUCAAAGGUUUGACCCUAAGGGUUCCUCCUAAUCCACUCUGGCAGUCAACCAAAAUGCUUUGAAUAUUUUUUUUUCUACACAUGAUCACACUAAAGCUUCCUCCAAUUAACAAUCCAAUUUAUCAACAUACCAACCACUACUCAAGAGCAACUAUAUAUAAUAAUUGUCAUUAAAGUUUAGAAAUAAAAGUUCAAAGUUGAGCAAAUUAGUCAAAAUAAAGUCUCAUUACAAAUAUAUAGUUUCAAAGUUUUCUAAUACAAGUCCCAAAAUAGCCAACAUAACAAAUACACUACACUCCACUAGGCCGCUCCAAAAUCUCCUGAGGCAUCCUGAAGCCCUCCCUGCCCCAACCGUGGAUCCUCAGAAGUGACAUCUACAUCUAAAAAUAUAUAAGAAGGAAGGGAUGAGCAUUCCACAUUGCUCAAUAGGGUGCCUAACACCUAAGGGGUUAAUGGGGAUUACUAAGUUUCAAAUGAACAUAAAAGAAACAUUCCAUCAGCAUUGAUCAACCAACAUAUUUUAAUUUCUAUAAUUAUAACAAUUCCACAAUUUUAAACAAUUAAAUAAAAUGCACAUGGACAUGUGACACACAGUCAUACAAUGCACAAUCGUUCUCAGGCUUUCAUUGAAGAAUACACAUCCAUACCCAAAUACACUCUCUAUUCGGAGUCUUCUUGGGGUAAAUUUUUGGGUCUUUCACCAUAGGGAUCUCUCUCCCUUCUUAAUUUGCCUCACACGAGCUUUUACUUUUCAUUACUAUUUCAUUUUUCUUUCCUUUUUCAUUUCAUGCACUUUUCACAGUUUUUAUCUUUCCUUCACACAACCAUGAUGCAAAUGAAAUGACAUGAGGUUAAUUACCCUAAUUCACAAGUAUCACCAAUAUCACAUAAAAUUUCCAACUAGUCCAAAUAUCAUUGAAAUUACAAUCAUACCACAAUUUCAUAAUUUUCCAACAACCCUAAUAAUCCCAAUAUUUAAAUAUAAUUGUUUUCUCCACACUAAAAUUAUCAAAAGUAACCCAAUAAUUUCCAAUAAUUCAAAUCUCAAUUAAACAUAAUAUAUUCCAAAAUUUCAUAAUUUUCCAACAACUUCAAUAAUUUCAAUAAUCAAAUAUAAUUAUUUUCUUCACACUAAAAUUACCAAAAGAAACCUAAUAAUUUCCAAUAAUUCAAAUCUCAAUUAAACAUAAUUUAUUUCAAAAUUUCAUAAUUUUCCAAUAGCUCCAAUAAUUCCAAUAAUCAAAUAUAAUUAUUUUCCCACAAUAAAAUUACCAAAAAUAUUCCAAUAAUUCUCAAAAACCCACAUAUCAAUAAUUAUACUUUAAACCACAAUUGCAUUUAUUCUCAACAAUCCUAUUAAUUUUAACAACCCAAAUGCAAUCAUUUAUCAACUAAAAAGAAUUUCCCAUCAUCACCAAAUUUCCAAAUUUUUUUCCAAAUCAUCUAAUAAAAUUUCUUGUAUCACAAAUAUUACCUUAUUAACUCUUAAUAACAAGAUUUAUAAAUUUUUUUCUCAAGAAAAAAACAUUUCAUUAAAGUUUUAGGGUUAAGUUUCCCCACCAUAGAUCUACCAAUCAGACCAUUGAAAACAAAAUCAGUCGCUGUAGAAACAUUCUUCUUGUUGAGUAGAAAACUCCCUCAAAAUUUCACGUGAAAAAGACAACGGUCAGCCGUCCAAACGGUUGUCCAAAGAACAACAUAAUUUUUUUCUUCCUAUAGCCGCCGAGACCCCCCUUCUUUUUCUUUUCUCAUUUAUCUUUUCAAUUUCUCAUUCAUUUGCCUUUAAGCCUCCAACCACAAGUGGCCCAUGACCUAAUCACUAAACAAGGGCCUUAACACUAUUUGAUUUCCUUUGUUUUUCUUUUUCAAAUCAUUUCCAUUUCUUUCAUUAAUUUAUUUUCCAUUUCACUUCAUUUUCAUUUUUUUUAACAACACAAAAUAAAUUAACAAAUAUCAUCCUAAUUUUUUUUAAAUUUUCUCAAAUUUAUUAUUAAGCAAAUUAAUUUAAUUUUUACUUAAUUAGUUGUAAUUAAUUUUAAUUAUUUCAUUUUUCAUUUUUCGUUUUCACUUUUCGUUUUAAAAAAUUUUCAAUUUUUACGAUCCUAAGAAAUUUUCUACUAUAAAGCUAACAUGACACAAAAAAUUCAACUCGCUUAAUUGACCAACAAAAUAUUUUGAAUUCUGCCAGUCCAAAAUUAAUAUGUAUUCUCCAAUAAUUUUUUUUUAACUUUUCAACCACCACUCAAUAGAAGACUUUUCAAACUAGAAAUUCUAACAUGGUCUAAAAUACCUAGUCGUUACAUGUUCAUUGCUCCGCUAUCCGACAACCUCGUUGUCACUAUCAUCAACGGAGAAAUAACGGGUCUCAGUUGUGUUCUUUAUUUGGAGAAAAAAGGGGUUCGGUCCACAGUGUUCGACACGAGGGUUCAUGGGCUAAGAGGAAGAAUGGGAACUAGAAUGAUUGAUCCUCAACCAUUGAUAUUUGAUCAUGUGACUCAAUUUUUCAUUGUGGAUGAUCCUUAGUUUGCUUAGUUGGUUGAUGGAUGGUUGGAGAAAGGUUUGGUUCAACAAUGGCAGGGUAUGAUUGGAGAGCUUAAAGUAGGUAGUCAAUUUGUUCCUCUUCAUUCUCUCUCUCCAAGAUAUAUAGGUGUUAAUGGAAUGCACCCUCUUGCGAAUUCAAUAUUGUCUUAGACUACCAUGGUGAAUGUGGCCAAUGAAGAAGCUGAAACUCAGUUCUAUAUGGACCAUUCUUGUAGCGUUUGAGGAUCCACUUCCUAUUCCUUUUGAAGGAGAUUUUGUAAAAGAAGUUGAUUCUAUCUCAUGGAUGGACAACAACACAAAGAAACUAUUGCAUUCAUUGAGUAGUGGCCCUCAUUGUUAGACCUUCUUCAACACAACAACUUUUGGAAAGCGGAAUAAGGUUCCUCAGGAAAAUAUUCCUACUGUUAUAGCAGAGAAGGUGAAAGAAGCCAUGCUUGCAGGUGUUGAGACUACACUAGGACAUUUAAUAGGAUCACUUAAUAGACCCCUUUACACCUGAGUGCAAUUAUGGGGUGCAACUCUUUCCACAAACACUCCAGGUAUUCCUUGCAUUUUUUAACCUCAUGGAAGGGUUAGCAUAUGUGAUGAUUGGUUAAUAGGUUCAAGUUUGGAAGUAGUAUCCUUAAACGACAUAGCUCUUGCUAACCAUGGAGAGUCGGUGAGUCAGCUUUACAUAGACUCAUGAAAAUUAACAGCGCCUUGGAUUCGAAACAGAUUGGUUAAAAACUGGAACCCCUGCACAUGAGGGAGCAUCAACAUAGGUCAUGCAUAGGAGCUUGCAAGUC